UACGAAGGGGGCUAGCGUUGUUCGGAAUCACUGGGCGUAAAGCGCACGUAGGCGGAUCUUUAAGUCAGAGGUGAAAUCCCAAGGCUCAACCUUGGAACUGCCUUUGAUACUGGAGAUCUUGAGUCCGGGAGAGGUGAGUGGAACUGCGAGUGUAGAGGUGAAAUUCGUAGAUAUUCGCAAGAACACCAGUGGCGAAGGCGACUGACUGGACAUGUAUUGACGCUGAGGUGCGAAAGCGUGGGGAGCAAACAGG
rnacentral:rRNA from 1 species